GCCACCCGGCUGGGAGCGGAGAGAGACUGACGGCGGAGGCGGGGGUCAGGGCGCGGACCCGGACCCCAGCCCCAUGGGGGACAGAGUCCAAAAAAACCGGCCGGGUGGAGGAUGCAGCCGGGCGUGGUGGCUACAAGGAAGUGCCCUGGUGUUAAGAACUCAGCCUCUGAAACCCGCCGCCCAGCUUCGAGUCAGCGACGUACUUUUGUUGUCCCGGCCUUAGUAUCCCCGCUGCAAUAAGAGUGUAAGCUCCUAAAGGCAGAAAUCAAGCUGACCUAAGCAAAGACCUGAAGGAGCUAUGAGGACAUCUGGCAGAAGAGGCAAGAGGCUGGCCAGCGGCUAUAAACAAGUUAAGGGACUCCUCUGAGCCUCAACAUCCCAUCCCUGGAAUGGAGAGAAGGACGUCUGCCCUGCUUAUCUCAAAAGGACAUCGAUGAGAUCAUAGAAGCCCAAGCUGAGGUUACAUCUGAUGCUAAAAACUAGACGAGAAAGGGUCUGUCUGACCCUCAAGGUCAGCAAUGUGUGUGCAACUCCCCUCUCGGGGUCUGGGGACGCAGCCAUGUGUUCCAUCGCACACCAGGCUUUGGGGAUAUUGUAGGGCUCAGACCGCCGACUGCUAGUUUAUUAAAAGAGCAGCUGCCAUCCCGCCGCGCAGUGGGACAGAGAGCUGCAGCCCGGCGCAGGCUCGACCCCGCAGGGAACCGCGACCCGGGGAUAGGCAGCUCUGGACUGCACUGAUCUGGGACUCUGUCGGCUCUACAGACACACACACGCGCGCGCACACACACACACAUGCACACACGCACGCACACACACACGCACGCACAGCCGCUAGGCCUAGAGUUUAUUUUUCCAGGGGCUGGUGGGGACUCCGCUCCCGCGGCGGGCGGCGGCACUGGAAUGUUAAUUGAAACGGAGCUGGCGAGCGCGGCGCAGAUAAGCGUCGCCCAGCAGCGUCCCCGCCUGCGGCUCCCCGAAUCAGCGAUCCGGGAAGGCCCCGCCGCCUCUCUGGCCGCUGAGGGUUUUCUUUUCCACGCUGAAGGAGUGGAACGCGCGCGGAGGCAGCUCGGCGCCCGCAAACCCCCGGAGUCAGCCCCCGACGGUCUGUCCCAGAACUAAACGGUCUCCGCCACCCAAAGCCGAGAAGCUAAGAGGCCGGCUGGGGGAGGGUGACACGGAGAAAUGGAGAAGCCCACCCAGCGGUUACAUACCGGCAGAUUUUUAUUUCCUUUAACUGGUUGGUUCUUCUAAACAUUUAAUGCAAGAAAUCUCUCGGCCCGCUUCACUUUACUCUCCACCCAUGCUCUUCCCCUAACCCUGAGAAUUUUGCACAGAUUUUCGGGGUUCGCGCGGAGCGCCUCUGAAAGUGAUGGCGGACAAACCGUCAAAAAGGCCUCAGCAUAGCAAUUUAGGAAAAGAUCGUAUCAGAUCCUUAAUUCACACCAUACACUCUAAUACACUCGAAAGUAAGCAAAGAAAUUAUAACAAAUACCAGAAUAAAAUAUGGGUGAAUUCCUUUUUAACCUCAGUGUAGGAAAAGAAAGGUCUUCUCACCAUGACUCAAAUCAAGAAGCAAGUAAACAUAACACAAAUGAUUACAUUUUAUAAAAUGCAUGGUAAGAAAUCACUAUAAAAGAAGUCAAAAGACAAUUGUCAAACAGGAAGAAAAUAUUUGCAACAUAUAGCACACAUAACCAAAGUAACUGAUAUUGAGAAAACUUAAAAAUUGAAAUUGGGAGAUGGAUACAAUUUGCGUUUGUGUAUGUAUGUGUAUAUAUUUAUGUGUUUUUAAUUGUUAUGUAUAUUAUACAUGUAUAUGUAUAGAUACAUACACAUAUGUAUAUAUCCCUUAAACAUAUAAAAGGAUGUUGCACCUCACUUGUAAUUAGAGAAAUGCAAAUUAAAAACAACACUGAGAUACUGUUUCUCACCUAUCAAAUUUGUAAGAAUUAAGAGGCAUGAUCAUGCAUUCCGUUGCCCGGGCUAGCUGGGAAGCAGGCACUCCCAUACAGUACUGGUGGAAUGCAAACCUGUAGAACCUUUCUGGAGAGGAGAACUCCUAAAAAUACUAUAUGUGCAUUUAUGUUUCACCUAUGGUCCCAUUUCUUAGAAAUUUGUCUUUCGACAAAUUCAAUUGACAAUUGUCUUUUGACUCUGAAGACAUGCCUCCAACAAUAUAAAAACACAUACAAACUUAUUAUUGUAAAGUACUGGAAAACUCUAAAUACUCAUUCACAGAACAGUGGUUGAAUAAACUUUGGUACAUUCGUGCAAUGGAGUACUAGGCAACUAUAGAAAACAAUAAGGAAGACCUCUUUGGACCAAUAUGAUGUGACUGCUGAAUAUAUUGUUAAGUGAAAAAAAGGUAACGGCAAAAGAGUAUCUUCAAGAAUCAAUGAGAGCUGGGAACAGCUCAUGUUCUGGGGAGGAGGCUGUGCCGGCCAUGGGGCUUUGGGUGUGUGAUUGACUGCAGGUGUGCUUGCCUUGUGGCAGCAGAAAAAGGAUGCACCAGUGAUCAACCCGUCUCUUAAAUAUGGUAAUCAGAUCAACAUCAUAGAUUUUAAUGAUAAAAGUAUCAUUAUAAAUGAAAACGUUAUCCAUCAAGUGGAUGAAAUUAGGCACAUUAAUGCCAGUCCGGCAGACAAAGGUGAGCUGGUGACAUUCUACAAUAAAAGUUAUUGUGUCUUCUCCUGACUGGACUGGA
rnacentral:lncRNA from 1 species